GUUAAUAUGGCCGAGUAGGCAUUAGACUGUAAAUCUAAAGACAGGAGUUGAGUCUUCUUGUUACC
rnacentral:tRNA from 1 species